ACGGGAGGCAGCAGUGGGGAAUAUUGCACAAUGGGCGCAAGCCUGACGCAGCGAUGCCGCGUGAGGGAAGAAGGUUUUCGGAUUGUAAACCUCUGUCAACAGGGACGAAAAUGACGGUACCUGUGAAGGAAGCUCCGGCUAACUACGUGCCAGCAGCCGCGGUAAUACGUAGGGAGCAAGCGUUAUCCGGAAUUACUGGGUGUAAAGGGAGUGUAGGCGGGACUGUAAGUCAGAUGUGAAAUAUGCCGGCUCAACUGGCAGACUGCAUUUGAAACUGCGGUUCUUGAGUGAAGCAGAGGUAAGCGGAAUUCCUAGUGUAGCGGUGAAAUGCGUAGAUAUUAGGAGGAACAUCAGUGGCGAAGGCGGCUUACUGGGCUUUAACUGACGCUGAGGCUCGAAAGCGUGGGGAGCAAACAGGAUUAGAUACCCUGGUA
rnacentral:rRNA from 1 species